GCAGGUAGGGCGACGGUUCGUCGAUCUGCGUGUCCAUGACGUGCCAGCAGUGCGCGAUGCGCGCGGCCGUGCGUUCGAGCACCACGGCCUGCGC
rnacentral:tRNA from 1 species